rnacentral:rRNA from 1 species
UUCGAUUCCGGAGAGUUAGCCUAAGAGAUCGCUAACACAUCCAAGGAAGGCAGCAGGCGCGCAAAUUACCCAAUGCCAACACGGCGAGGUAGCGACAAUAAAUACUGAUACAGGGCUCUUUUGGGUCUUGUAAUUGGAAUGAGUACAAUUUAAACCUCUUAACGAGGAACAAUUGGAGGGCAAGUCUGGUGCCAGCAGCCGCGGUAAUUCCAGCUCCAAUAGCGUAUAUUAAAGUUGUUGCAGUUAAAAAGCUCGUAGUUGAACCUUUGGCCUGGCUGGCAGGUCCGCCUCACCGCGUGCACUUGUCCGGCCGGGCCUUCUCUUCUGGAGAACCUCAUGCCCUUCACUGGGUGUGCUGGGGAACCAGGACUUUUACUGUGAAAAAAUUAGAGUGUUCAAAGCAGGCCUUUGCUCGAAUAUGUUAGCAUGGAAUAAUGGAAUAGGACGUGUGGGCCUAUUUUGUUGGUUUCUAGGACCGCCGUAAUGAUUAAAAGGACCAGUCGGGGGCAUCAGUAUUCGAUUGUCAGAGGUGAAAUUCUUGGAUUUAUCGAAGACUAACUACUGCGAAAGCAUUUGCCAAGGAUGUUUUCAUUAAUCAGUGAACGAAAGUUAGGGGAUCGAAGACGAUCAGAUACCGUCGUAGUCUUAACCAUAAACUAUGCCAGCUAGGGAUCGGGCGGUGUUUCUAUUUUGACCCGCUCGGCACCUUACGAGAAAUCAAAG